AACAAAACUUCCUCAGUUGUGGAUCUCUGAGGGAGCAAGGGGACAGCCAGCACUCAGGAGGAGACUGAGCUUCUUGCUAAGCCAGCCCUGAAAAGACGGAAAGGAUGGGAACAGCAGAAUCAGAUUUGAAAAGGUUUCAGCCUGUGCUCUGGAACAGGAAAUCCUUUUACAGACAGUGACCCUUCAGACACUGGAUGAAGAAUCUUCAUACGCAUGGGUUCAGCCCCCAGGGGUCCAGUUCAAGAGCAAAGGACCUGAGCCCCAACCAUCAGAGGAAGGAGGUUUAGCCUCGCCCAGCAUGGAGGUUACUGCUCUGCGGACCGGGCCCGGGACUCUGUGAUGUCCAAGUUUGGAGUGUUCCAGGCAAGUCCUCUGUUUCCCUCCCUCCCUAACCAGCCAUUGUCCACAAGCGGGUGGCCGGCAGACCCUUCCUGAUCCCCACCCCCAGAAUUAGCAUUUCCUGGGGAAGUCUUUUUUUUUUUUUCAUGUUUAUUCAUUUUUGAGAGAGAGCACAGCAGGGGAGAGGCAAAGAGAGAGGGGAGCAGAGGCUCUGAAGCAGGCUCUAGCUGGCCCACCAGUGACAGCACAGAGCCCAGUGUGGGACUCGAACUCACACACCAUGAGAUCAUAUCCUGAGCCGAAGUCGGACACCGCUCCACACGGAGCCCUGCAGGCGCUCCAAGGAUGUGCUGUAGUCUGAGUGAUGUGGAGACC
rnacentral:lncRNA from 1 species